AUUAGAAAUGGCGAUCGGCGCGAGCGACAAAGCGACGACAGAAGCACCAUUUCUGUGUUCAGGUGUAGAGAAUGGACACGUGUGCGGCCGAGCGUCCUGAGCGAUGGCCGCCAUAGCGCUGUCGGCGAGGGGAGGGAAGCGAGGCGUGGGCCGUGCGCGCCGCGGCUCGCCGUGAGUGCAAUAUGGAUGGCGACUUGGCGGUGACCGCGAGGGACGAGUGUGCGGUAUCGCUUCUCGGCCUUUUGGCUAAGAUCAAGUGUAGUAUCUGUUCUUAUCAGUUUAAUAUCUGAUACGUCCUCUAUCCGAGGACAAUAUAUUAAAUGGAUUUUUGGAGCAGGGAGAUGGAAUAGGAGCUUGCUCCGUCCACUCCACGCAUCGACCUGGUAUUGCAGUACUUCCAGGAACGGUGCACCCCCUUCGGGGGUCCUGACUGGUUUGAGCUAGUUUGGGAUUGGAACACUAAAUUAGCUAUGUGUAUGUCUCUCAGAUAAAUAAAUGAAAUCUUAAAAAAAGAAAGAAAGAAGGAACGGACAUAUUUAUUGAAUGCUUUCUAUGUGCCAAGACCCGAUGACAGGAGUGACUCCUACCCCCAGACCAACAGGCCUCCAGCCCAAGAAAACUUACAGUCUCCAGUAGAGAAAAUGAAGGAAGAAAUAGGCGCGGGUCCAGGAUGGUUUCCUGACCUGAGAUUUCUACAGACCUUGCAAUGGAUUUCUUCUCAUGAGUUGUGCACACUCCUUUGCCACCAGAGGGUUCCCUCAACUGACUGAUGCAAGGCAUCUGCUUGGACUCUCCUAUCCACUGAUUUAAUGAGAUAUCCUAGGAGCUGAUACCAAACAGUUGAACAGGCAACACAAAAUGGACAAAGGAUAGUCUCCGGGUCGGGGGAGUGGGGAGAGAGAAACACAGAUAUAGGCAGACAUCUGGCCCCCGGGGCACAUCCAACCCCACCACCACCCGUGGCCUGGGCUACCUGGUCCUGGCACGGGCCCUAGGGUGGAUCCAUUCCCCUGCUGCAUCCACCUGAUCAGGUAGGAUAAGCUGGGGGAGUGGAGGGGGCAGGUGUCUCAGAGGCCAUCAAGAGACCCGCACACUCCCCUGGCCACCCCACCCCACCCCACCCCUGACUACAGAGGGAGGUAAACCCUACAGUAAAACAGCACGAUGUUCAGGAGGUCCUGUUGUCGUCCAGCCCAGGGACAUCCCCUCCAAAGCCCAGAAAACUGCUUCCUCUUUAUACCGGCGUCUACUGAGAGAGAAGGAAGCCCAGGGCCCAGCUCGCGUUCUGGAAGGGACACAUUCCACACAGCUAGACACCCCAUCUGGGCUCACACACUGGGUGACUGGGAAGACCCUCAGCUCAGGCUGGCCUGUAGCCGAAGAGGGCUCUCAAGCCCUUUGAGGGGAGCAGGGCAGUGGGGGCAGCUCUGUGGUUUGGGCCACAGGAUCUGGCAGACCCCAUUGUGCUGAUGACAGUGACAUGUCCUUGAAGGAAAGACAUGUUGGAGUUGAUGGGAGCCCCGGCAGGGAAGGAUCACAGCGCGGGUUCUACC